rnacentral:rRNA from 1 species
UGCAGUCGAGCGGAACGAUGGGAGCUUGCUCCCAGGCGUCGAGCGGCGGACGGGUGAGUAACACUUAGGAAUCUACCUAGUAGUGGGGGAUAGCUCGGGGAAACUCGAAUUAAUACCGCAUACGACCUACGGGAGAAAGGGGGCAGUUUACUGCUCUCGCUAUUAGAUGAGCCUAAGUCGGAUUAGCUAGAUGGUGGGGUAAAGGCCUACCAUGGCGACGAUCUGUAGCUGGUCUGAGAGGAUGAUCAGCCACACCGGGACUGAGACACGGCCCGGACUCCUACGGGAGGCAGCAGUGGGGAAUAUUGGACAAUGGGGGAAACCCUGAUCCAGCCAUGCCGCGUGUGUGAAGAAGGCCUUUUGGUUGUAAAGCACUUUAAGCAGUGAAGAAGACCUAACGGUUAAUACCCGUUAGCGAUGACAUUAGCUGCAGAAUAAGCACCGGCUAACUCUGUGCCAGCAGCCGCGGUAAUACAGAGGGUGCAAGCGUUAAUCGGAAUUACUGGGCGUAAAGCGAGCGUAGGUGGCUUGAUAAGUCAGAUGUGAAAUCCCCGGGCUUAACCUGGGAACUGCAUCUGAUACUGUUAAGCUAGAGUAGGUGAGAGGGAAGUAGAAUUCCAGGUGUAGCGGUGAAAUGCGUAGAGAUCUGGAGGAAUACCGAUGGCGAAGGCAGCUUCCUGGCAUCAUACUGACACUGAGGCUCGAAAGCGUGGGUAGCAAACAGGAUUAGAUACCCUGGUAGUCCACGCCGUAAACGAUGUCUACUAGUCGUUGGGUCCCUUGAGGACUUAGUGACGCAGCUAACGCAAUAAGUAGACCGCCUGGGGAGUACGGCCGCAAGGUUAAAACUC